CCUACGGGUGGCAGCAGUGGGGGAUAUUGCACAAUGGGGGCAACCCUGAUGCAGCGACGCCGCGUGUGUGAAGAAGUAUUUCGGUAUGUAAAGCCCUAUCAGCAGGGAAGAAAGAGUACGGUACCUGACUCAGAAGCCCCGGCUAACUACGUACCAGCAGCCGCGGUAAUACGUAGGCGGCGAGCGUUGUCCGGAUUGACUGGGUGUGAAGUGAGCGUAGACGGCCGUGCAAGUCAGAAGGGAAAGCCCCGGUCCCAACCCCGGUAUUGCAUCUGGGACUGGGCAGCUAGUGUCUGGGAGAGGGAGGUGGAAGUCUUGGUGUAGGGGUGAAAUGCGUAGAGAUGAAGGGGAAUACUGAUUGCGAAGGCGACCGGCUAGACAAAAACUGACGCUGAGGCGCGAAAGCGUGGGGAGCAAACAGGAUUAGAUACCCGGGUAGUC
rnacentral:rRNA from 1 species